rnacentral:lncRNA from 1 species
UAGCAAACAACAUUCCAAAUGAAGAUGCAAACAAUAUCCCAAUUCUCAAAUGCAAAACCUAAAUUUAACAAACAAUAUUAUCAACAUAACAAUACUAAACAAUAGCUUUGUCCCUUGAUCAUUGUGCAUCGAACUUGAUUCCUACUCAAAAGCUCCUACCUCAAUUCAUAUUUGAUCUUCACUCUUCCCCACAACUCUUACUAGCAUACAUCAAAACUCAAAGUUGAUUCUUAUAUAGUAAGUAAGAAAUGUAAGUAGAGUAAUAAUACAACCAUACUACCUAAUCUAGAAACUCCAGUGAAGACAGCUGCCAGCUAAUGUCUUGUUGAAUUUGAUUAAAAAAAUUGUGGUAGGGUUAGUACUUAGUGGGUAAGUGGUAAGAUGAUUAGGUUACUUAAUGGGUCAGUAAUGGGCCAUAAAUUUUGGGCUAGACAAAUUAUAAUGGAAAGCCCAAUUGUCCAAUUUUUUUAACGAGUAAUCGGUUCAGGGCAAGGCGAUGGCGCAAAUACCAUACCCGCCUCACCCCAUCCUACCUUGAACCAGGUCACUAAAAUCAAAUACUAUAUCUACUCCAUUGCACCAUUGGUUCGAUUUUUUUCGCUCCAUUCAGUUUAGUUAACCGCGAGUUUUAUUUUGACGAUUCAAAUUGCU